rnacentral:lncRNA from 1 species
GAGUUUUGAUUUGGUAUCAGAACCAAGUUCCCUUUGGUGCCUCCAACCCUAAAUCGGCGAUAUCUUCUCCACCGUCUCAAUUUCUCUUCCGAUCAAAACAUGGUUGUUAUCGUUGCCUUUAGUGAUACAUAGAAAACUGCUCACAAUACCCACAAAUUUGCAUUCACUCUUUCUCCUACUAACUAUGGUUUCUGGAAGGCAAUGCUCGAAUCAUUCCCAAUCACCAAUCACCAAUCACUUGACCGGCUAUGUGGAUGGCACCAUCAAAUGUCCAGAACAAAAAAUUACCACAACAAAUGCAAUAACUGAUAACCCUAGUUAUCCUCAUUGGGUUUCCAAUGAUGCACACAUAAGAAUGAUAAUUCUAUCUGAAGCAUCUUUCCAACAUGUUCAAGGUACGACCUCUAGAGAUUUGUGGCUUUCGUUAGAACGUGCUUAUUCACCAAACUCUGCUUCUUGUGAAUACACUUUAAAAACACAGUUACUUCGCAUAGAGAUGAAAAGUGAUGAAACUCCACUGACCUAUCUUAGCCGAGCAAUGGAAUAUGUGUCCGCUCUCGCUAAUAUCGGUGAACUCAUGAAGGACAAGGAUCUAGUUAUGCUUACAAUCUCAGGUUUGCGAGAUGAAUAUAAUGGUUUAAAAUCAAAUCUUCUGGCCCGCCAUCCAUCGAUCACCUUCAAUGACCUACAUGGUCUUUGAUCUGACCAUGAUUACAUGAUCAACAGAUCAACCAUGUUACCUGUUGUUGCCUCACCACAAGUUGAUUCUAGGGGGUGUUUGGCUAAAAGUGUACUUUGAAGUUUUUACAUAAGGAAGAACAGAACUUUUUGGAAAAAUCAGUAAAUCCUGACUUUUUUGUAACUUUUCCAAAGGACUUUUGAGUUUGAAAAGCUAAGCCAAACACUCCUAGAUUCUGUUCAUAUACAAGUUAGCCAAAUCAACUCUUUGAGAAUCUAGAAUCCUAAGAAGAUUGGAGUAUUUUGUGUAUUUUUCUAACUAAUCUCUAGGAUGGGUAACUGCCAUUAAAUGUUGGGAAUUCCAACUUAGGAGUGAAAUUAAAAUUUCUCAGAGAUGGGUAUUUCCCUUUUCAACUAAAUUGACAUUUAUACCCUUCUUGUAAUAAUUGUAUAACAACUAUCCCUAUAUCAAUUUUUCUUCUUUUUCAAUUGCUCUAUUGAAUGAUUAUAUCAGAGAUAUAAAUAGUCUUGAGUUUUAGUUGACCCGAUCAUAGUCAUAACAAAAUCAAUGUACUUGAGGUCGAUAGAGUGGAACAAAUUAAUUCCAGUUUUUUUUGUGGAAAAGGGAAAAAAAACAUUAUGG